CUAAGACCUCAGAGCCUUCUCGAAUGGCCCCACUGCCCCGCCACUCGAGCUGUCGUGUACCCCUCGCGGGCAGAGGGCAUGUAAGCUGGGUAGCUGUAUUGCUGUGAGCACAGGCCCAGGCAGGGCACCGAGACCCAGGCGGGAUCCUCCCAGAGGUUUUCAUUUUAGCAACAGCCAGUGCCCACAGGGCCUAAGGAGUUUAUGGACUGCCACCCCCACCCUGUCCUGCCUACCCUCCACUCCAACGCCCUGCUGUGACUGUAACACAGAUUUUAGGUUUUUGAAGGUUCUGAGAGCAAGCUUCAAUGACAGACCACACUGAUGAGUCCGUGGUGUAAAUAUCCAGAGCCCAAUCCCUUCCAAGGAAAAACGGUUGAGUGGGAAGCUGGACAGGGUUUCUAUUGUGUUGGUUCUCUUCCUCCUGCUGUGUGCUUGGUCUUUCUGGGGUGGGCAGAGUUGCACAUUUCCAGUCCUUUCCUGUGCUAGCAACCGACUAAUUAUUCAUCUUCCCUCCAGUUCUUGCUUCUUCUCCACCCCUUGUAUUGAUAAAUGUUUGCCUUCACCCACUCAAGAAGGAAGAAAAGUAAAUAAUCUGUAAUUUAGGUUUAUGCAAAAACAGCUGAAAAACUUGUGAGGAAAAGGAAAUGCUUAAUUACAGUCUCCUUCUUCUGAGUGGGGAAGUGGACCCUUUUGAAUAUCCAGUAUCUGUAUCAUAUAUAUGUUCUCUGUUUGGUAAAGGGAGUCUUACGACUUUUAAGAAAUUUUGUUACAAUAUAAUGGCAUGGAGAUUAUUUUGUCCUUGAUCCUUUUGAGCUUUUUAAAUUCAUUCAUUCUUUCAUUAAUUCACUCAACAAACAUUUUGUGCCUACCAUGUGCUGAAUGAUGGGGGCAGGGCGUGGGGUAGGGGGAAGACAGGGACCCUGGGAACCUUGUAAUGGUUUCCGAUUUACUUUGAAAGGUAGGGCUACAAAAAGUGAAACAGGAACAGAAAUCAACAUUCCUACCCCUCCUUUUUUCCUAAACACUACAAUUUAAAUUUCAUCAUCAUAGACACAGGACUUAGAAGGAAAAUAAUAUUAAAAUCAAGAAUAUGUCAGGGCUUCUCUAAGGCUUUGCUAGAUCUUUGUUUUGUUCCGAUGCUUAUUUUUGUGGGGGCCUCUGUCGUUACGUUUAAUAUAAAAAAAGCGAAACAGUAUGAUCAUUACAGUUGCUGUAUUCAUGUUUUGAAAUCAGUUGCACUAAUUAUGCCUUUUAAAAAGUUCCCCACAACAGUUUCUAUUUUAAAAAGGAAAAAAGAAAAAAGAAACAAAACAAUAACUCACAAGCCAUAUGAAGUACAAUGAAAAAUGUCCUUUAGUACAAAGCCAGGAGCAUGAAAUACGGACUCUUGCAACUAAAGGGACCCCAAGGAGUCCUCUGGUUCAUUUUUGUGUCUCAGGGCUGCUACUCCAAGGGUAAGAUGUGGAGAGCAAGGGGUUCUCCCAUAUAUUUACUCUGUAGCAAUUUAUCUGUGGUAAAAAGAAAUCUACUGGGGAAUCUCUAACUGGGCCAGAGGGAGAAAAAAUAAAAAGCAUCAGGAAGCAGAAUUUGUUUUUUCCUGUAACGCUAGAGGGCAGCCGUCUAUCCUCAUAACCCCGCAAGCAAGGCUGACUUUCUGGGUCUGUGACUUGUGCAGCUGGUUCAAGGUUCUGCUGUCGCCACCCUUAAAUUCUUAAAAAUGUUUGAUCAAAGGGUUCUACAUGUCCAUUUUGCCCAGGGCUCUGCAUAUUGGAGAGCCUAUCCUGCUAGCUGGUCACAUUAAACAGCAGUCCAGUCUGGGCCCGCAGACAGAGCCUAUGGCAGGCCAGCCAAAGGACAAGGCCUCCUCUGCCUGGGAACUCAAGCCACCUAUCCCCUCCUAAUCUGGUCACCUCCCAUGGACUACAUACACACUAAGACAGACUCAAUCGAUUAUAAAUCUAAGCAGUCACGCUGCAGGAUAGGUUUAUGCAUCAGUGGGUAUUGCGUUAAAAAUAACCCAUCUUCUAGCUCCUAUUUCAAAUCCAGUUAGAUUAGCUCAGUCAAUGACGCUGUCAUGUUCCUCUUAACGUCCACAAGGCUCUGAUUGAUUAAAUCAAGGCAGCCCAGCCAACUGCACCAAGGACAGAAGCGGACAUGUGCCAGCCAACCCAGGGCGGAUUGUAGAGCUGAGCAGAGUCUUUCCCUGUGUGUUCAUUUUCCUCUCUGGCAAAUACAUUACUAAAAUUUAUAUAAUAAAGUAUGAACGGUAUGUCAACAGAUUCAUUAUCACCAUGAAAUAUGCUUUGUGCACCCAGAUAACAUUUACAUUUUUAUUGAACCAGAGUCUGGGAAUACAAAAUCCACCCAACCCAAGCCAGUUUAUGGCUCUUAGAAGUCAAAUUAACUCUUACAGUUCAUUUAAGUACUUCUUUGCAGUUCAGUUUCCAAAGCAUCAACAAAAUGAUGCUGAUCAUAACAUUAAUAUAUUCAUUUUCUUGUCCAUCCAGUGCUGAAUGAUCCCUACAUGCCUUUAAAAGACCCUACUUAAUUGGCUUAUUUGUAAAUUAGGUUUUCAGGGACAAUACCGGAAUCAAUAUUUCAAAAAAUCAUCUGAAAGAUCUGAUUUGGGGUGAGUUACUGAGAUUUUUGGCCCUUAACAUGUGCGAAGAUGGUCCUAGUAUGUCAGAGCAGACCUUUCACAGAUGCCCACUGCCAUGGAGAAGUUUACUCCUGGUAAUCUUUCAAAAUCCACUGAUAUGCUGGAAUGCUUUCCAUGAGCCCUGAGAGGAGUAAGAGUAGGUUAAUGACUAAUCAGUUUCCAGGACGUCUGCAACCUUGUGAGAGAUAUCGAUUUCUCUGCUCUUGCUCAGAGAAUGUGAGCUAAAAAACAAUGACUCACGCCGCCGUGGAGAUGUGAGCUUAGGGUCAGUGGCCUAGAGAGGUGCAGAAGAGGGUCUUAUUUAGUAAGCAUAAAUAUAUAGUUCAGAUACCUUGGCUUUUAUUUUUAUAUGCUUGUAUAAAAAUAAGUGUCCCUUAAAAUGGUCAUUAAGGAGUGACUUGAUGAUACUCUAAAAUUAAAAAAAAAUAAUGUACACUGAGGGACAAGAUAUGGCUUCUAUGGAACAGUGCUGAGAUAUAGUUCAUGAAUAUUUUGUCUAAUUUCACCUUUCUCAUUCAAUUCAACCAAUGUAUGAUUUUAAACCACUUCACACAUUUUAAUUCAUGGGACCUUUUUAACUUUGAAAAUAAAUCAAGUUCAAUUCAGUCUUAUUCCACACUAUAGUGUAAUAAUUGUCAAUAUCUCAGAAUCACUUCCUUAAAAUACUGGAUUUUGUUCUAUCGCUGAUAUCAUCUGUCAUCCUUGGAGAAGUCACGUAUGAUCUCCAAGCUUCAGCUGAUUUGUUUUUAAAGUAAGGAAAUAAAAAAUGGAACAGUUAUGCUAAGACUCUUUCAAACAGGUUUGUGGUAAAGGAAUGGAUUUUAAUCAAUAUUUUUAGAUUGAAAGGAAAAAAAAUUGUUUGCAUCCAAUUAAAAAUAUAUAAAUAUAAUAAAAUUGAACUGUACCAAGAAGUUUGUUGAAUUUUGUCUAACUGUUUAAUAAUAAGUACUAUUUCCUUUGAUAAAAAGCAACAGAAACAUGUAUUAGUGGUGUGUAAUGACAAUUAGUAAACACCCACAAAUCGUACUUUUAUAUUACCAUGGUCUGUGUUCCCUCACUAAGGGUAAGUUCUGUCAAAGCAAAAGAUUUUGUUUCUUUUGUUCAUUAUGUUCCUAUUACCUGAAAUUUGCAAAAACACAUAGUAAGUGUUUAAUAAGUAUGUGCUAGGUGAAUGAAUGAAUAAAUCAAGAAAGACAGACAACUUCAUUCUUUUAA